ACAAAUGCGUAGAUGGAUCAGCAGUAGGUAGCUUGUGGAUGCUUUCAGAGAGCCGGUGGAGGGUGCGAACCGGUACCUGCAGGUUAGUGAAUUACGGUCUUGAGCAGCGAAUGGGAACCUGCAGGAAUUGCCUGCACAAGUAGUGUUUGCCGAGUAAACCCCGUUAUAGGUUCUUGAGUGAAAAUAGCACGCCGUGUCUAUAACGUUGGUUAUAGAUGUACGUAACGGCUGUUUUAAUUAGGGUGGUACCGCGAGUCAAGUCUUCUCGUCCCUUUG
rnacentral:ncRNA from 1 species